CACGUAGGGUGCGAGCGUUUGUCCGGAAUUAUUGGGCGUAAAGAGCUCGUAGGCGGUGUGUCGCGUCGGCCGUGAAAAACCUGCAGCUUAACUGUGGGCUUGCGGUCGAUACGGGCAUCACUGGAGUUCGGCAGGGGAGACUGGAAUUCCUGGUGUAGCGGUGAAAUGCGCAGAUAUCAGGAGGAACACCGGUGGCGAAGG
rnacentral:rRNA from 1 species